GUGGGGAAUCUUCCGCAAUGGGCGCAAGCCUGACGGAGCAACGCCGCGUGAAUGAAGAAGGUCUUCGGAUUGUAAAGUUCUGUCAUUAGGGACGAAUAAGGUCUGCGAAUAGCGGAUUGUAUGACGGUACCUAAGGAGGAAGCUCCGGCUAACUACGUGCCAGCAGCCGCGGUAAUACGUAGGGAGCAAGCGUUGUCCGGAAUUACUGGGCGUAAAGGGCGCGUAGGCGGAUGUUUAAGUCAGGUGUGAAAACUAAGGGCUCAACCUUUAGACUGCACUUGAAACUGGAUAUCUUGAGGGCAGGAGAGGAAAGUGGAAUUCCUAGUGUAGCGGUGAAAUGCGUAGAUAUUAGGAGGAACACCAGUGGCGAAGGCGACUUUCUGGACUGUACCUGACGCUGAGGCGCGAAAGCAUGGGGAGCAAACGGGA
rnacentral:rRNA from 1 species